UACGAAGGGGGCUAGCGUUGCUCGGAAUCACUGGGCGUAAAGGGUGCGUAGGCGGGUCUUUAAGUCAGGGGUGAAAUCCUGGAGCUCAACUCCAGAACUGCCUUUGAUACUGAGGAUCUUGAGUACGGGAGAGGUGAGUGGAACUGCGAGUGUAGAGGUGAAAUUCGUAGAUAUUCGGCGGAACACCAGUGGCGAAGGCGACUCACUGGCCCGAUACUGACGCUGAGGCGCGAAAGCGUGGGGAGCAAACAGG
rnacentral:rRNA from 1 species